rnacentral:rRNA from 1 species
GUGGGGAAUAUUGCACAAUGGGCGCAAGCCUGAUGCAGCCAUGCCGCGUGUGUGAAGAAGGCCUUCGGGUUGUAAAGCACUUUCAGCGAGGAGGAAGGGUAGUGUGUUAAUAGCACAUUGCAUUGACGUUACUCGCAGAAGAAGCACCGGCUAACUCCGUGCCAGCAGCCGCGGUAAAUACGGAGGGUGCAAGCGUUAAUCGGAAUUACUGGGCGUAAAGCGCACGCAGGCGGUUUGUUAAGUCAGAUGUGAAAUCCCCGCGCUAACG